GCAUGCACAGAACACAGGAGGGGAGGGAACGAGAGCAUCGCAUGCGUGCGUGCUUUCAAAAAGUAAACCUGGCAUCUCCUCUCACGUCCAUGCAUAAACACUGUAAGCAUGCUUUUCAAGGGAGGAAUUCCCCAUCGUGGAAAUUUAACUGCAUGUUCCGUUAUCUGGAUGGCUGAGACGCAGCGUUCGAUGGCCGAAUACUCAAGGACUGCGAGUUCUGAAUGGAAAACGCAUCGCUGAAGAGAUGCACUGAAGAGUUGGGCUUCUGACUAGAUGCUUCUGCGCUGCUCAGAGAUUUUAGCGUCAUGUUCUUUAACGCGAGACGCACGGGAUCCUCUAUUUGUCCCCGACACACGGCCACUCGUAGCUUACUUUUUGACAGAGAGGAAUAUGCACGUCAAUUGUUAAAAGUCAACUUUAUGAGAUGUUCCACACAAAAAAAAAAAAGUGUUGACAGGAGGUAGUUGCUAUCUUUGGUUAUCUAGCUGUAUGAGUGUUUAUCUUCCUUCAUAAAGCUAGAUAACCGAAAGUAGAAACGUCCUCCUUAACUGCAUAGUGGACAAGCUGGGAAGCAAUGAUCGCAGGGAACUGCAUGAGCCUCUCAAACUGCAGUGUCUUUGUGAGAGACCAGAGGACUGGAGCUAAGGGGGGAAACGCCAUCUGCUCCCCUCCCUUCUUCAUCAACGGAAGCAUUUAGUGCCAUCUGUGCCCCCUGAGAAAAGAGGAAAAAAAGAAAGGAGUGAGACUCUCCAUCCCAAGUGCCAAUGGGGACAAAGAGGCUGCCAGUUGCCACGGACCACCAGAUGCUGGAAGACUGCAAGUCUGAAUGAGGGGUGUGCUUUCAGGAAGCCAUCUUGAUGGAGAAGCUGGCUGCUGCUCCCUAAAAUGGCUGUGUUGGCAUGAGGCUACUGGCAAUGAAACUGAACAAUCCCCAUUGUUGUCAUCAGCUACUGGAGAAACUGAGGCCAUCCUGCUAUGUUUGAAUCAAAUGGUAAAUCACAUCACCUCAGGAAUCCAGCGUCCAACAUCUCUUCCAGAUGGUCUGCUGUGGAAAGCAAAUGAGGAAUGGUUUAAAAUGUGCACUAACUAAUUUAACUGGGUGUCAAAACCUUGCAGUCUUCAGACAAUCACUAAUACUGGAUGGGCGUGUGGAUUAGGGCUGUUCACCCAGUUAAUCUUAGAUGUUAGAAAACGUGUUGUAGUCUCAUCAGUGCCAUAUAAACUGAAGAGAAUAAUGUGCCUUAAUGUGUGAAAAGUUUACAAUGAGAGUUGAUGUUAACGUCAAUGUCUUGAAUUUUGCUUUUAAUGCUUCUUUGCAACUUUCAUGUUAGCAUUCUUUUUAUUUUAUUUUUUGUUAUUGUACUUACAAAAUGUUCCAGUUUCAAUGGAUGUACAAGAAAUUGUGCUUAAUCCAAAUAUUUUGUAUAGCUAUACUGUAUGUAUGGAGUUUAAUACAAGAAUUAUGGUCAGUUUCUCUCUGGAAUUUCAUUUGUCUGAUUAUGUGAUGUAUGAAACAAGCUGUAUACACUGCACAAAAAAUGACAUUAAAGCAUUACACUGAAAAAGCAA